AUUGAACGCUGGCGGCGGGCCUAACACAUGCAAGUCGAACGAGUGGCGGACGGGUGAGUAAUGUCGGGGAACCUGCCUGAUGGCGGGGGAUAACUACUGGAAACGGUAGCUAAUACCGCAUACCUUCCGAUGUGCCCAGAUGGGAUUAGCUAGUUGGUGGGGUAAAGGCUCACCAAGGCAACGAUCCAUAGCUGGUCUGAGAGGAUAACCAGCCACACGGGAACGGAGACACGGUCCAGACUCCUACGGGAGGCAGCAGUGGGGAAUAUUGCACAAUGGGCGCAAGCCUGACGGAGCAAUGCCGCGUGAAUGAAGAAGGCCUUCGGGUUGUAAAGUACUUUUAGCGGGGAGGCGUUACCUGAACAAGAAGCACCGGCUAACUCCGUGCCAGCAGCCGCGGUAAUUC
rnacentral:rRNA from 1 species